rnacentral:rRNA from 1 species
GAUUCGUGCUCACGCACUUAACUGUGCGCUGACCGUGUUCCAAGACUUUUACUUUGAGGAAAUUAGAGUGUUUCAAGCAGGCUUAUGCCGUGAAUACAUUAGCAUGGAAUAAUAGGAUAUGACUUUGGUCAUAUUUUGUUGGUUUCUAGGACUGAAGUAAUGAUUAAUAGGGACAGUCGGGGGCCCUCAAA